rnacentral:rRNA from 1 species
AUUGAACGCUGGCGGCAUGCCUUACACAUGCAAGUCGAACGGUAACAGGUCUUCGGAUGCUGACGAGUGGCGAACGGGUGAGUAAUACAUCGGAACGUGCCCGGUCGUGGGGGAUAACGAAGCGAAAGCUUUGCUAAUACCGCAUAAGAUCUACGGAUGAAAGCAGGGGACCGCAAGGCCUUGCGCGAACGGAGCGGCUGAUGGCAGAUUAGGUAGUUGGUGGGAUAAAAGCUUACCAAGCCGACGAUCUGUAGCUGGUCUGAGAGGACGACCAGCCACACUGGGACUGAGACACGGCCCAGACUCCUACGGGAGGCAGCAGUGGGGAAUUUUGGACAAUGGGCGAAAGCCUGAUCCAGCCAUGCCGCGUGCAGGAUGAAGGCCUUCGGGUUGUAAACUGCUUUUGUACGGAACGAAAAGACUCUGGUUAAUACCUGGGGUCCAUGACGGUACCGUAAGAAUAAGCACCGGCUAACUACGUG